rnacentral:rRNA from 1 species
GGUGCAAGCGUUAUCCGGAUUCACUGGGUUUAACGGGUGCGUAGGUGGGUUGGUAAGUCAGUGGUGAAAUCUCCGAGCUUAACUUGGAAACUGCCAUUGAUACUAUCAGUCUUGAAUAUUGUGGAGGUUAGCGGAAUAUGUCAUGUAGCGGUGAAAUGCUUAGAUAUGACAUAGAACACCAAUUGCGAAGGCAGCUGGCUACGCAUAUAGUGACACUGAGGCACGAAAGCGUGGGGAUCAAACAGG